GCUCUGCUAAUUUUGAUCUCUUGUUUUUUUUUUUAACAAGUUACAGUGUGAAAAGAAUUGACUGUGUUUGUUAAGUUUUCAAGGUAUGCAACGGCUAAGUAAAUAUCAUUAAAAAAAAAAAGAAGGAAAAGAGAAAUUAUUCUGACAAUGUUAUAGGUACAAUUCUGGGCUCCUUCAUCCAUGAUUCAACUAAAUUUGGGUCCUUGGUUUUGAGUCUGUUGUAGUUAUCAUGAAACCCACUUCAGGAUAUUUUGACACAAAAGGUGAUAAUGGGAGUUGGAAAAAUAGAAAAAGUAUCACGGGGAAGUGAUGAAUUGAAGAGGUGUGUGUAGCCCAAGUGAUUCACACGAUUGUGACAAGAGAUUAUUAAGUUUGCUUUAAAUGAUUCAUUCAUAUCGCUUUUUCAAUAAUAAAAUUUCCAGCUUUUGUGGGUCUUUCUC